GGCUGGGGGAAAACAGGGAUAGGGAAAGAGGCAGGGUUCUGGGAGGAGAGAGGCUUUGGAGAGAGCUCACUGCAGCCCUGCAGGACCCGAAGGGUUAUUUACAGGCUCGAAAUUCCCAAAACAGAGCUCAAAAUCCGCAGGAAAACUGGGAAAACAUCGCCUGCCCAGCGGGAAUAAACGUCAGGAACCAGCGUGACACGGGACAGGCAGCAGGAAACUCCCGUCCCAUGGGUUUGGCUUGGAAUUCCCAGCUGUAAAUCCCAAUUUGAAUCCUUAAUUGGAUUAAAAAAAAAAUAAAUAAAAAAAUUAAAAAUGGAUAAACAACAUUUCCGUGCUGCUGGGAAAAGCUGCGCCGGCACUUUGGCACCGCCUCGGAGCUGCCAGACCGGGAGGCAGGAGAGAGGGAGAAGCAGAGGGAUCCAGGAACGGCGGUUCCAGAGGAGACGGCAGCGCCGGGGACGGACACGGCGUGAGCAGAAUUCCGCGUCACGCCAGCGGGGCUGGAGCGGGGAUGUGUGAUCAUUUAAUUAUCAAACACCGGAUAACGCUGAUACCUGAUAACUGGAUAACGCUGAUAUCUGAUAACUGGAUAAUGCUGAUAUCUGAUAACUGGAUAAUGCUGAUAUCUGAUUAUUUAAUAAUGCUGAUAUCUGAUUAUUUAAUAAUGUUGAUAUUUGUUAAAUUGAUAGUGCUGAUACUUGACAAUUGGAUAAUGUUGGUAUUUGGUAAUUUAA